rfam:Clostridium tyrobutyricum DIVETGP, WGS project CBXI01000000 data, contig: NODE_4
UUUUUUCUAGAAUAUGCGUAAGGCUUUAAUUUGAACCUACAUUACUAAAUCGGGAGUUUAAUAUUUAGAUGUGUAUAUGUAACCUUUGAGACAUAGGAAGUGAUAGAUGCAUCUGUGAGAACACCCACCUAUCGAGAGAUAGGUGUCAAAUUAAGUUCAGCGGUAUUUUGGAGUAUCA